GAUCUCUCGGCCAGGGCAUGGUAGGUAUUGACUGAUUGGUAGCUCUUUCUUGAUUCUGUGGGUGGUGGUGCAUGGCUUUUCUUAGUUGGUGGAGCGAUUUAUCUGGUUAAUUCUGAUAACGAAUGAAACUCUGGCAUGCUAACUAGUUAUGCAGCUCCUGAGAGGUUGGCGUCAACUUCUUAGAGGGACAAGUGGUGUUAAACCACCCAAGAUUGAACCAUAACAGGUC